ACGAAAACAACAUCACAAUGAUGACAAAUUAACCAGUGCUCCUUUUAUCAGAAUCAUGGAACUUAACGUUGAAGAAUAAAAUAAUGUCAUUAACAUAUGCAUUCAGACCAGUAGGAAACGCCUUUCUUCAGGAAGAGGAAAUGCAGCAUACAUCUAGCAUCU